UACAGAGGUCUCAAGCGUUGUUCGGAUUCAUUGGGCGUAAAGGGUGCGUAGGCGGCGCGGUAAGUCGGAUGUGAAAUCUCGGGGCUUAACUCCGAAACUGCAUUCGAUACUGCCGUGCUUGAGGACUGGAGAGGAGACUGGAAUUUACGGUGUAGCGGUGAAAUGCGUAGAUAUCGUAAGGAAGACCAGUGGCGAAGGCGAGUCUCUGGACAUUUCCUGACGCUGAGGCACGAAAGCCAGGGGACCAAACGGG
rnacentral:rRNA from 1 species